rnacentral:rRNA from 1 species
CGACGGGUGGCUGCAGUGGGGAAUAUUGCACAAUGGGCGCAAGCCUGAUGCAGCCAUGCCGCGUGUAUGAAGAAGGCCUUCGGGUUGUAAAGUACUUUCAGCGGGGAGGAAGGGAGUAAAGUUAAUACCUUUGCUCAUUGACGUUACCCGCAGAAGAAGCACCGGCUAACUCCGUGCCAGCAGCCGCGGUAAUACGGAGGGUGCAAGCGUUAAUCGGAAUUACUGGGCGUAAGGCGCACGCAGGCGGUUUGUUAAGUCAGAUGUGAAAUCCCCGGGCUCAACCUGGGAACUGCAUCUGAUACUGGCAAGCUUGAGUCUCGUAGAGGGGGGUAGAAUUCCAGGUGUAGCGGUGAAAUGCGUAGAGAUCUGGAGGAAUACCGGUGACGAAGGCGGCCCCCUGGACGAAGACUGACGCUCAGGUGCGAAAGCGUGGGGAGCAAACAGGAUUAGAUACCCCCGUAGUC